rnacentral:rRNA from 1 species
UCCGGUGGCCACAGCAGGGUGGACACACCCGUUCCCAUCCCGAACACGGAAGUUAAGCACCCUCGCGCCGAUGGUACUACGGGCAGCCGUGGGAGAGUAGGUAGCCGCCGGAU